rnacentral:sRNA from 1 species
GCUGGGUGUGGUGGCCCAUGCCUUUAGUCCCACCACUCAGGAGGCAGAGGCAGGCAGACCUCUGUGAGAUCAAGGCCAGCCUGGUCUACAUAGCAAGUUCUAGGCCAGCUAGGGCUACAGGGAGACCCUGUCUCAAUAAGACAAAGGAAAAAAAAAUAGAGAGAGUCUCAACCCUGCAGCCCCAGCUGGCCUGGAACUUGCUAUGUAGACCAGGCUGGCCUCGAACUCACAGAGUUCUGCCUGCCUCU